GAAAUUUCCUUUCGUUCUAAAAAUAGAUCCCUGCAUCAAGGAGCUGAAAUGGGUCCCUGUUAGAGUUUUCCGUUUCUCAAUAGGUACACGUGUUUUUUAAAACAUUUCGAUCUUCUCGGCGUUUAUCUAAUUAGCGUGUGUCAUGAAGUCAUAUUUUUUUCGCAUUGCGGAUUUAUCAUAACAUACAUUGAAUUAAAACAAAAGUGAAUGUCCGGUAAAAAUAUUGAAUAGAAGCAUGUUUUCUGCUUCUUUUGAAAAGCUAAGGGAAAGUUAUGAUGAUAACAAGACUCAGCCAGUGUUUUUAGGAAGCGUCCAUCGAACAAACAGGCGUGUGUGCGUACCUUAACGAGAUCAUUGCUAAUAGAGCAGGGUUUCCUCAAAAACGAAAUCAGUUGGAAAAAGUGAAAGGCCAAAUCAAUUAUGACAUGAUAAAGCAUCAGAAACCAAAAGUUCUAAUAAAAGACAACUAAACCAAGAUUUAUGAAAAUUGGAAUAAAACAAAAACAUUCAAGUAUAAUUAGAGUUUAUAAACUAUUUUUUUCAUUUUACGGUUAAUUAAUGAAUACACAUACAGGCACUGGUCUCAGAAUUUAUUUUAUAAAGGUAUAAGACGAGUGCCUGUGAAUACACAUAUAUAUCCAUUUGUUACAGUUUAUAUGAGAAAAUACAAAACUGGCAGAGGGUUUGAAACGGAACACAAAUUAAACCUACAAUUGCUUCUCAGUCAAUAAACCAAAUAAAACAGCUAGCAAAUAACCCUAACCCUAACCCUAAACCAAAUAAAACAGCUAAACAAAGAAAGAAACAUAUUUAAGAUGGAAAAAAAAAUCUGGGGUUGAUAAUUGCCUAAAUAUUCAAUAUUGUGUUGAUGAAAAAACCCAAUACAUUAAGGAGCUUGGUGGUGAAAAACCCAAUUUGAUAUUAACAUGAGGGGUGAAUUGGAAUUGAUAAUGCAAUCAAAAAACUUUAUCACCCAAUUAUAUAAGAAAAUGGUGGGUAAAAAACCCAAUUUGUGAAUUCUUAUCUGGAGCUCUGUUA
rnacentral:lncRNA from 1 species